rnacentral:tmRNA from 1 species
GGGGGCGACCCGGUUUCGACGUGGGUUGCAAAGCAGCGUAGGGCAUACCGAGGAUCGGUCACCUCGUAAAUACAUCCGAAAAAAAAUAGUCGCAAACGACGAAUCAUACGCACUGGCCGCUUAAGGCCUAGCCUCUGUACCGGAACGCUCAUGGUCCGGGUCGGGUAAAACCGGCAGCAGAGUCACUUACAUGAGAUCGCGCCGGAUCGGGUUACUUGAUCCGGAGCUAAAUCCAAGGUAACUCGCCCAACUCCAGCCUGUUCGAUUGGCGUGACAAGGGUUAAAACCAAAUAAUCGGACUAAGUAUGUAGAACUGCCUGUAGAGGGCUUGCGGACGCGGGUUCGAUUCCCGCCGCCUCCACCA